rnacentral:lncRNA from 1 species
UCAUGUGCACGCAUUGACUUGGAUCCAUGGUAGGCGCGCGCUUCGUGGCCUCUUGAUUUGCCAGCUCAAUUAAUGAGCUUAGAUCAGACGGUCCACGCUUUUUUACAAUUUCUAUUUUCUGUUUUAUUUUCCUUUUAUUUUCUUUAAUUCCAAUUAUCUUCCAAAAUUAAUAUCUCUCUCAUUUUUAAUCCAAAAAAUACGGAACCAAUUGCAUUAUUUCCCAAAUAAAUUCUAGUUUCUGUUUCUGAUUUUUAAUUUUUUU